UACGAAGGUCCCGAGCGUUAUCCGGAUUUAUUGGGUUUAAAGGGUGCGUAGGCGGGUUAUUAAGUCAGUGGUGAAAGCCUACAGCUUAACUGUAGAAUUGCCAUUGAUACUGAUGAUCUUGAGUAUGAUUGAGGUGGGCGGAAUGUGUCAUGUAGCGGUGAAAUGCUUAGAUAUGACACAGAACACCGAUUGCGAAGGCAGCUCACUAAGUCAAUAACUGACGCU
rnacentral:rRNA from 1 species